UGUAGCUCAGUGGUAGAGCGCAUGCUUUGCAUGUAUGAGGCCCCGGGUUCAAUCCCCGGCAUCUCCAGAUAGAAUUGGUGAGUGUGUGUGAGUGUGUAUGUUGUGUUCGGUGUGUGUGUGUGUGUGUGUGUGUCCGGUGUGUGUGUGUGUGUUUGUGUGUGUGUGUGUGCGGGUGAGUGUGUAUGUGUGUGUUUGGGUGGGUGUGUUUGUGUGUGUGCGGGUGAGUGUGUAUGUGUGUGUGUGUGCGGGUGUGCGUGUGUGUGUUCGGUGAGUGUGUGUGUGUGUGUGUGCUUUCAUGUAGACAGUCACAGAUUCGGGGUGGCAGGAGGGAGGACGGAGAGCAGCAUUGUCGAGUGUGAGCAGGGGGGAAGAGGAGGGGUGAACGGGGUAGUCGAGUACAGAAAGGAGAGAGAGGACACACCGAGAGGAAGAGACAUCUGUUAACUGACCAUGUUAAAGGAGGAAUUCAACAUUCAAGGCCUACCAUGAUUUCCCCCUUUUCCCCCUACUGAAGAACGUUGGGAGUACCCCCUACUGAAGAACCGUUGGCUCAGCGGACAGUGGACGUUUCCCCCCCUACUGAAGAACCGUUGGCUCAGUGGACGGUGAAGGACGUUCCCCCCCUACUGAAGAACGUUGGGAGUACCCCAGCGGAUGUUCCCCCUACUGAAGAACCGUUGGCUCAGCGGACAGUGGACGUUUCCCCCUACUGAAGAACCGUUGGCUCA
ensembl:lncRNA